rnacentral:rRNA from 1 species
UUCGGGUUGUAAACCUCUUUCAGUAGGGAAGAAGCGAAAGUGACGGUACCUGCAGAAGAAGCGCCGGCUAACUACGUGCCAGCAGCCGCGGUAAUACGUAGGGCGCAAGCGUUAUCCGGAAUUAUUGGGCGUAAAGAGCUCGUAGGCGGUUUGUCGCGUCUGCCGUGAAAGUCCGGGGCUCAACUCCGGAUCUGCGGUGGGUACGGGCAGACUAGAGUGAUGUAGGGGAGACUGGAAUUCCUGGUGUAGCGGUGAAAUGCGCAGAUAUCAGGAGGAACACCGAUGGCGAAGGCAGGUCUCUGGGCAUUAACUGACGCUAGGAGCGAAAGCAUGGGGAGCGAACAGGAUUAGAUACCCUGGUAGUCCAUGCCGUAAACGUUGGGCACUAGGUGUGGGGGACAUUCCACGUUUUCCGUACCGUAGCUAACGCAUUAAGUGCCCCGCCUGGGGAGUACGGCCGCAAG